AGUGAACGCUGGCGGUAGGCCCAACACAUGCAAGUCGAACGGCAGCACAGUAAGAGCUUGCUCUUACGGGUGGCGAGUGGCGGACGGGUGAGGAAUACAUCGGAAUCUACUUUUUCGUGGGGGAUAACGUAGGGAAACUUACGCUAAUACCGCAUACGACCUACGGGUGAAAGCAGGGGAUCUUCGGACCUUGCGCGAUUGAAUGAGCCGAUGUCGGAUUAGCUAGUUGGCGGGGUAAAGGCCCACCAAGGCGACGAUCCGUAGCUGGUCUGAGAGGAUGAUCAGCCACACUGGAACUGAGACACGGUCCAGAAUCCUACGGGAGGCAGCAGUGGGGAAUAUUGGACAAUGGGCGCAAGCCUGAUCCAGCCAUACCGCGUGGGUGAAGAAGGCCUUCGGGUUGUAAAGCCCUUUUGUUGGGAAAGAAAAGCAGCAGGUUAAUACCCCGCUGUUCUGACGGUACCCAAAGAAUAAGCACCGGCUAACUUCGUG
rnacentral:rRNA from 1 species